AGAGUUUGAUCAUGGCUCAGGAUGAACGCUAGCGGCAGGCUUAACACAUGCAAGUCGAGGGGUAACAGGGAUUGCUUGCAAUCCGCUGACGACCGGCGCACGGGUGCGUAACGCGUAUGCAACCUACCUUUUACAGGGGAAUAGCCCAUAGAAAUGUGGAUUAAUACCCCAUAAUAUAUAGACAAGGCAUCUUGAUUAUAUUAAAACUCCGGUGGUAAAAGAUGGGCAUGCGUGACAUUAGCUAGUUGGUAAGGUAACGGCUUACCAAGGCAACGAUGUCUAGGGGGUCUGAGAGGAUGAUCCCCCACACUGGUACUGAGACACGGACCAGACUCCUACGGGAGGCAGCAGUGAGGAAUAUUGGGCAAUGGAGGCAACUCUGACCCAGCCAUGCCGCGUGAAGGAAGACUGCCUUAUGGGUUGUAAACUUCUUUUAUAGAGGAAGAAAUAUUUCUACGUGUAGAAAUUUGACGGUAUUCUAUGAAUAAGCACCGGCUAACUCCGUGCCAGCAGCCGCGGUAAUACGGAGGGUGCAAGCGUUAUCCGGAUUCAUUGGGUUUAAAGGGUGCGUAGGCGGAUAAAUAAGUCAGUGGUGAAAGCCCACAGCUCAACUGUGGAACUGCCAUUGAUACUGUUUAUCUUGAAUAUAUUUGAAGUAGGCGGAAUAUGUAGUGUAGCGGUGAAAUGCAUAGAUAUUACAUAGAACACCAAUUGCGAAGGCAGCUUACUAAGAUAUUAUUGACGCUGAGGCACGAAAGCGUGGGUAGCGAACAGGAUUAGAUACCCUGGUAGUCCACGCCGUAAACUAUGUUCACUCGGUGCUUGUCCAAAAGGAUGAGUGCCCAAGCGAAAGUAUUAAGUGAACCACCUGGGGAGUACGCUCGCAAGAGUGAAACUCAAAGGAAUUGACGGG
rnacentral:rRNA from 1 species